GUGGCAGAGUGGUCGAAUGCGGCGGUCUCGAAAACCGUUAAGGGGUUUACGCCCCUUCGGGGGUUCGAACCGAGCGUAG
rnacentral:tRNA from 1 species